rnacentral:misc_RNA from 1 species
CUUUUUGCCUGUUUGUUGCCGAUGCUGGCUGCUGCCGAUGAAGAAAAACGAAUACUUUUAAAUGACCCAGACUUGAUUCAUUCCGAAAUAAUAGCGAUGCGGCACCAAAUCCAAGAAAUGAAUUCCAAGUUGCUUGCACAGGAAAGACUUAUUGCCGAAAUUCAAACAACACAGUCCGGUGGCGCUAUUUUUGUUCGCUGGGGAAAACAUGGCUGCCCUGAUAACGACACUGAACUUGUUUAUUCUGUAUUGAAGGAUUUGCUGGAGGAUCAUAGUAUGACCACUCAGGUGCGGCUGCCGAGUAUGUUUGCUUGACACGAAACCCAGUGUUCCCCUCCAAACUCCAUGACAGCGUAAAUGCUUAUAUGUAUGGAGCGGAAUACAAUUCGAACGCGUUCGGACCGACUGAUGGCAACGAUAUUCCAUGCGCUGUCUGCCGAAGUCUUUCCACAUCCAGUGUUCUUAUGAUUCCAGGAACUAACGUGUGUGUUUCAGGAUGGAGGUUGCAAUACAAAGGUAAUCUUGCAGCCGGUUUCUACAACCACCACGCAGCUUCUCAGUACAUUUGCUUGGAUGAAUCCCCCGAAACGGUCGUCAAUGGACAUGUCAACAACGAAGGCAAGCUGAUUCACCCCGUAAUGACUGUUUGUGGGCCAUUAGAGUGCCCACCUUAUGAAAAUGGCAAAUAUCUUACAUGUGUCGUGUGUACCAAAUAAGAAACCUCUCUAUUUUACUUGGAAAUCAUAUUCCAAAAAUGACUGUUUGAUUCGUUUUCUUUUUCUCAAUAAAAUCAUGACAGACUG